rnacentral:rRNA from 1 species
AAACCAACAGGGAUUGCCCUAGUAACGGCGAGUGAAGCGGCAACAGCUCAAAUUUGAAAUCUGGCUUCGGCCCGAGUUGUAAUUUGCAGAGGAUGCUUCUGGCGCGGUGCCUUCCGAGUUCCCUGGAACGGGACGCCACAGAGGGUGAGAGCCCCGUAUGGUCGGACACCAAGCCUGUGUGAAGCUCCUUCGACGAGUCGAGUAGUUUGGGAAUGCUGCUCUAAAUGGGAGGUAAAUCUCUUCUAAAGCUAAAUACCGGCCAGAGACCGAUAGCGCACAAGUAGAGUGAUCGAAAGAUGAAAAGCACCUUGAAAAGGGGGUUAAAUAGUACGUGAAAUUGUUGAAAGGGAAGCACUUGUGACCAGACUUGGGCCGGGCGGCUCAUCAGGGGUUCUCCCCUGUGCACUCCGCCCGGCACAGGCCAGCAUCGGUUCUCGUGGGGGGAUAAGACCGUUAGGAACGUAGCACCCUCCGGGGUGUGUUAUAGCCUGGCGGACGAUACCCCCGUGGGGACCGAGGUUCGCGCUCCGCAAGGAUGCUGGCGUAAUGGUCACCAGUGAC